GAUGAAGAACGUAGCGAAAUGCGAUACUUGGUGUGAAUUGCAGAAUCCCGUGAACCAUCGAGUCUUUGAACGCAAGUUGCGCCUCAAGCCAUUAGGUUGAGGGCACGUCUGCCUGGGCGUCACAUAUCGUUGCCUGAUGCCAGUUUCCUCGUGAUGGGUGACUGUGCAGGGCGAAUGAUGGCUUCCCGUGAGCAUUGUUGCCUCAUGGUUGGUUGAAAAUUGAGUCCUUGGUAGGGAGCGCCGUGAUAGAUGGUGGUUGAGUGACGAACGAGACCCAAUCAUGUGAGACCCCUACCGAAUUUGGCCUUCAUGACCCACAUGCGUCUUUGGAACGCUCAUGACGAGACCUCAGGUCAGGCAGGGCUACCCGCUGAGUUUUAGCAUAUCAAUAAGCGGAGGA
rnacentral:misc_RNA from 1 species